rnacentral:lncRNA from 1 species
GCAUUGGAGUUGCAGGUGGGCUGUUGGGCUCACCUGGGAUUUACAUGGCUUCUGGGAUGUAAACUUCAGUCUUCAUGAAGCACGGCUGAUCACGUGCCUUCCAGGACUGAAUCCUGCCAACAACCAUCUUCAGCUGGGUGUGGACGUCCUCUGCUGAGCCUUCCGAAAAGACUCUGUCUCCUGAUCUGCAUGCAGCCUGUGAGACACCCCGAGAUGGGACCCGGUAGAGCCAUGCCCAGACUUCAGAGACCGUCUGAGAAGAAUGGUGCUUUCCGCUGCCAGGUUUGGGGGGGGCAUGAUUUGUUCCCCAGUGUUGGGCAAUGAACACAGCAGAUUAUGGAAAGUUCUGGUUUCCCGCCGCACAUCUGCAGCGAGGUUCCAAUCAAGGCUGCAGAGAGGAUUGACCAAGCAGGUGCCUGCAGGUGUGUCAGGUACCCUGGAAGCUGAGGAGAGCUGCCUCGUUACUAAUUUACAUCAUACUGGUGAUAAUGGCUGGUCUGGGGCUCGGUGUUUAGGAUCCUGUCUAGGCUUGCCUUUAAUGUGCACACAUUCAUUCAGCUCACUCACUCUGCGUCCAGCACCGCCCCGGCUGCGUUCAGAAUACCAACAAGGUCACACUUAGUGCCUCGGUAACGACGUCCCUUACCUUGGAGGGACCUUUAUGCUGCACAAAACCCAAUUUGGUGGCAAUCACUCAACUGGCAGAGCAGAGGCAGGCCCUUCCAUUUUCUCCUUUAUCUGGGGUGUGUCUCUGGGGAGAAUAGAACCCGUUUUUCAA